rnacentral:rRNA from 1 species
GACGAACGCUGGCGGCGUGCUUAACACAUGCAAGUCGAACGGAAAGGCCCUGCUUUUGUGGGGUGCUCGAGUGGCGAACGGGUGAGUAACACGUGAGUAACCUGCCCUUGACUUUGGGAUAACUUCAGGAAACUGGGGCUAAUACCGGAUAGGAGCUCCUGCUGCAUGGUGGGGGUUGGAAAGUUUCGGCGGUUGGGGAUGGACUCGCGGCUUAUCAGCUUGUUGGGGGGGUAGUGGCUUACCAAGGCUUUGACGGGUAGCCGGCCUGAGAGGGUGACCGGCCACAUUGGGCCUGCGAUACGGCCCAGACUCCUACGGGAGGCAGCAGUGGGGAAUAUUGCACAAUGGGCGGAAGCCUGAUGCAGCAACGCCGCGUGCGGGAUGACGGCCUUCGGGUUGUAAACCGCUUUCGCCUGUGACGAAGCGUGAGUGACGGUAAUGGGUAAAGAAGCACCGGCUAACUACGUG